CCUACGGGUGGCAGCAGUGGGGAAUUUUGGACAAUGGGCGCAAGCCUGAUCCAGCCAUUCCGCGUGCAGGACGAAGGCCUUCGGGUUGUAAACUGCUUUUGUACGGAACGAAAGGGCUCUGGUUAAUACCUGGGGCAUAUGACGGUACCGUAAGAAUAAGCACCGGCUAACUACGUGCCAGCAGCCGCGGUAAUACGUAGGGUGCAAGCGUUAAGUGGAAUUACUGGGCGUAAAUCGUGAGGAGGCGGGUGAAAUCCCCGGGCUCAACCUGGGAACGGCCUUUGUGACUGCAAAGCUGGAGUGCGGCAGAGGGGGAUGGAAUUCCGCGUGUAGCAGUGAAAUGCGUAGAUAUGCGGAGGAACACCGAUGGCGAAGGCAAUCCCCUGGGCCUGCACUGACGCUCAUGCACGAAAGCGUGGGGAGCAAACAGGAUUAGAUACCCGAGUAGUC
rnacentral:rRNA from 1 species